UUUCCUGUUCCUCCCUGAGCCGUGCCCGUGAGCCGGUAUCCGUGACGGCCACCUGCCCCAGCCCUCGAUAAUUGCAUCCCCACCCGUGCUCCCCCCUCACAACCAACACAGCUCCAAAGAAAUCCCCAUCGCCGCCGCUCCCUCCCACCUUGUUCACUCGCCGCCAUGUCCGCCGCGUCAUCCUCCCCCCUCACCGUCCCAACUGACUUCCUGCUCCCUCUCAACCCGGUAUCCUUUUUGCGGCGACGAGAUCGCGACGAACUUCGCAAGGACGGGAGACAAGGCGGGUCAUUGGUUCUACAAGUGUAGAAAAUACGAUGCCCGCCAGUGCCGAUUCUUCGAUGCCAGAAGGCGUACGUGAGGAGGCUAACUCCGCUUCAGCUUGCCCGUGCUUAGAAGCAACAAGCAAGUCGACAUUCACCAAGCCGUGCAGAUGGUCCAUGCUGCCAACCAACCCCCAUGUGCAGCAAGGCGAUGGAGGGCAGAUAGCCACCCAAUCCAGUCUUUGCCACCGCGGUCUCGGCCAGGGCAGACUUUGUAUCAAACUGAUCAACUACAAGCCGCCGUUGCAUCCCGUUCCCAAAUGCUUGUAGUUGCCGCUCUGCUGCUUGCAGCUGCCAAUCUCAUGCUUACCAUGCUUGUUCUUCUGUUUGUAGUCGCCAGGUACUUUGGCUCGGUAAUUAAUGUGUUCAGAGCUGUUUACUGAGUUGCCGUGCGAACGGCCAGAAGGCGUCAACCAUGUCAGGGUGGCUCCCUGUACCUCAAGCCUGUUUCACCUAAAAUAGAACUUUAUUGGCAGCAUCAUAUGUAAUGAUAGUAACUAUGUUAAGUAUGCUUGUUACUGGCUGUCAUUGAAAUUAAUUCUGUGUAAUGAAAUUUCUUAUUGUUAUGCUAUUACACAAUUUGUUAUAUAAGAGAACUCUCCCUUAAUUA